CCUACGGGGGGCAGCAGUGGGGGAUAUUGCACAAUGGGGGGAACCCUGAUGCAGCGACGCCGCGUGGGUGAAGAAGCGCCUCGGCGCGUAAAGCUCUGUCAGCAGGGAAGAAAAUGACGGUACCUGAAGAAGAAGCCCCGGCUAACUACGUGCCAGCAGCCGCGGUAAUACGGAGGGGGCAAGCGUUAUCCGGAUUUACUGGGGGUAAAGGGGGCGCAGACGGCUAGGCAAGCCAGGAGUGAAAGGCCGGGGCCCAACCCCGGGAAUGCUCUUGGAACUGGGUGGCUGGAGUGCAGGAGGGGGAGGCGGAAGUCGUGGUGUAGCGGUGAAAUGCGUAGAUAUCAGGAAGAACACCGGUGGCGAAGGCAGCCUGCUGGACUGCAACUGACGUUGAGGCCCGAAAGCGUGGGGAGCAAACAGGAUUAGAUACCCGAGUAGUC
rnacentral:rRNA from 1 species